GACGAACGCUGGCGGCGUGCUUAACACAUGCAAGUCGAGCGGUAAGGCCCUUUCGGGGGUACACGAGCGGCGAACGGGUGAGUAACACGUGGGUGACCUGCCCUCAGCUCUGGGAUAAGCCUGGGGAAACUGGGGUCUAAUACUGGGAUAUGACUCCACGGUGCAUGUCGUGGGGUGGAAAGCCUUGUGCGGCUGAGGAUGGGCCCGCGGCCUAUCAGCUUGUUGGUGGGGUGANGGCCUACCAAGGCGACGACGGGUAGCCGGCCUGAGAGGGCGGCCGGCCACACUGGGACUGAGACACGGCCCAGACUCCUACGGGAGGCAGCAGUGGGGAAUCUUGCGCAAUGGGCGAGAGCCUGACGCAGCGACGCCGCGUGAGGGAUGACGGCCU
rnacentral:rRNA from 1 species